CACUUUUGCAGCCACCCCCUCUCUUCCGCAUUCAGGCGGUAACCUUUCCAUUAUUAUGAUAAUUGUAAACAACUGUCUUGAAACAAAUGGUAGAAGCAACAUGCCCAGACUGUGUCUUAAUUUGUUUCUUUUACCUUCAUGGACAUUUGAAUUCUGUUUGGUCAGGAAGGCACUUGAUUUGAUUUUAUCAGACUCAGAGGGAACAACAAAAGGAUGUAGUAAUGUCUGCCCCUUGGCUGCCCGAGUAAGGAUUCUGUCCCUCAAGUUCCUAUCCCUGAGCUCCAGCUGCACAGACUGAAUUUUCUUUUCCAUGAUGAGAAAUCCUCACCAAUGACUAUUUGUUUUGUCUACAUGAUAUGGCAGAGUUGUAAAAAUGUAUCAAGUAGACUACAGACACACUAGCUUUUUUGUGGGGCAUUUAGAAAUUUUAAAAUAAACACCUUUACUUUUUGUACCAUUGGAAUACUGACUCCAGGAGUCCUGUAUUUGAUAACAUGCUCAUACAAUGCACAUGUCUGGAAUGAAAUGCCUGAUCUUGCUAGAUACCUUCAAGAUAUUAUCAAAAUACAGGUGACUUCCCUCAGGAUUAAAAAAGUUCACAUAUUUUAGAAAUUCUUAUAAAGCUUGGUAAAGUUCAUGUUACCACUAUGUGCUUCUGUGCUGCUCUGUGGGUUGGGAUACUGAGGAGGCAAAAAGAGCCCCUUGGGUCUCUUCUAAGAGGAGCGAGUGUGGGAAGCAUAGAUUUAGGACCAACCAAGUAUUUCCACAUUUACUCUUGAGCCGGCACACACCUGGUACCGAGUACCUUGAUAGGUGACAGAGCCAGAAUUCUCAGUUGUGAAGGCUGUUAAUUGAAGUGUAGUCAGGAGCACAGUGGCAUAGCACUGGGAGGCAACAAGGAUGCUGAAUCAUACUCACCAUUAAUGAAAAACUGAGCAUUGCAAACUCAAUGUAGCAAGGCCAUUUGGAAGUAUUUCCCCCUUCUCAUGCCUAUGUUUCAACGGUAGGCUUGUUGAUAUUGGGGCCAGGAACUGGCCAGAAGAGCACGUGAGGUGGGCUGCCAGCAAAACUCAUUUAAUAUAAUAAUUGCAAAUAAUGUCUUGCAAAUAUAGUGUUUCUUUUACUCAAAACCUUCUUGCUAGCAGUUC